UACGGAGGGGGCUAGCGUUGUUCGGAAUUACUGGGCGUAAAGCGCACGUAGGCGGCUUGGUAAGUUAGAGGUGAAAGCCUGGAGCUCAACUCCAGAAUUGCCUUUAAGACUGCCGAGCUAGCAGGUGAGAGAGGUGAGUGGAAUUCCGAGUGUAGAGGUGAGAUUCGUAGAUAUUCGGAAGAACACCAGUGGCGAAGGCGGCUCACUGGCUCAUACUGGACGCUGAGGUGCGAAAGCGUGGGGAGCAAACAGG
rnacentral:rRNA from 1 species